rnacentral:rRNA from 1 species
UCGCCUGUUUUUUCAAAAACAUGUCCUUUUGUAUUUAAUUUAAGGUCUGACCUGCCCAGUGAUUUUAAUUUAACGGCCGCGGUAUACUGACCGUGCAAAGGUAGCAUAAUCAUUAGUCUUUUAAUAGAGGGCUGGAAUGAAAGGUUUAACGAGGAAUAAGCUGUCUCAUUUUAUUUGUUUUAAAAUUUAAUUUCUUAGUUAAAAAGCUAAGAUAAUAUUGGAAGACGAGAAGACCCUAUAGAUCUUUAUAUAAUUUUUUUAAUUUAAAAUUAUAUUAUUUUAAUUAUAUAUUAUUAUAUUUUGUUGGGGUGACAAAAAUAUAUAAAUAACUUUUUUAUUUCAAAAACAUUGAUUAAUGAUUAAAUGAUCCAAUAAUAUUGAUUACUAGAUUAAGUUACCUUAGGGAUAACAGCGUAAUCCUCCUUGGAAGUUCUUAUUUACAGGAUGGGCUUGCGACCUCGAUGUUGGAUUAAGAUAAUAGCUAGGUGUAGCCGCUUAGUAUAUAGGUCUGUUCGACCUUUAAAUUCUUACAUGAUCUGAGUUCAGACCGGUUUAAGCCAGGUCGGUUUCUA